CCCCACAUUGUGGGCUGCAAUUGCACCCUUCUCGAAAAUACCACCUUCCCACUUGAAUUUGAACGCAGGAUCUGAGCACCCGCCCCCUCAUGAAUAAUUCAGCAGCCCCUCGUGCCUCAUGCGACUGUAUGAAAGCGUUUUCAACACACACACUCAUCUUCUUAGCAAUGUUUGGUCCUUCUCAUGCAGUCGCAUAAUGAAUAGUAUCUCGUUCUUUUUCACUGGGUGGUUAUUAUUGGAGGCAAAUUGAGCGAAAUUCAGGGAUUUUUUCCUCCCUCAAAACCUGGAGUAGGAGGUACCUCAGUGGGAGAAGGACGGAACGAUCGAACACGUCGAAUCUUUACGCACGCUCGCGAAGGCUGUGUUGUGGUCCAGCUGCUUAUUGGAAAUCUUGCUGAAACGUUAGCUAGCCAUUGCACUGACGUUUAUCUACGAACUGACACGGGUUUAAUGGUCAGUGGGACGUUCUUGCCUCGGCUUAUUUGACAGUGGAGGAGGUGAAAAAAAUCAAGAUACACCAGAGUGCAUCAGUUGGGAGAUGGGAGAAGGGCUUAGGCUUGAGCCUGUCGCUGCCCCACCCGUCUCACUGUGAGGCCUUUGUCUCCUACUCAUGAUUUCUCUAUAGCUGCUGCAGACCGGUGCAGUCAUGUUCAGGAACAGCUUGAAGAUGCUGCUUGGCGGCAAGUCCAACCGCAAAAAUCGCAACAGUGUUGAGGAUCCUUGGAAUCUGUAUGCCAGACAGAGCCACAGUCUAUUUGAGGGAUGGAAGUCGUGGCUGAUCUCCAAACCAAAACAAGGAGCUACACCUCAACCUCCCUAUUUUGCAAGCCACUGCCCUAGAGCAUAUAAGAGUCCUCUGCCCAUCAAAAAAAAACAAGUACCAAGAUCUGAUGACCUGCUCAACUACUUGACAGCUGCUGCACGCUCUUUUAUGACUCACUGCAGAGUGAAUAAUUUGUUGUUAAACCAAGCUACAUAA
rnacentral:lncRNA from 13 species